ACUGGGCAUAAAGUCAAAGAUCAGCCAUGGAUUAGAUAGGAGGGGGAAGAAAAGCCAGUAAGCCACCACAUUAUUUCUUCCUCAUAACCUCCAUCUACGGAUGAGCUAAAUGAUGUUGGAACUCUCCUUUCUUAUCUUGUUUCUCACUUCCAUUUCAGUCCUCAUCUUCAUUUGCUUCUUCCGCUCCACUUCUCAUACUCCAAGCAAAACCCCAUGUCCAGAAUCUUACCCUAUAAUAGGAAUCCUCCCCGGCCUCCUCCGCAACCGCCACCGCUUCCACGAUUGGGUCGCUGACAUGCUCUCCAAAACCCCAUCAUCGACUCUCCAAGUCAACAACUUUCUCAACCUCUCCCAUAUCAUCUGCACUGCCAACCCUGUCAAUGUAGAGCACCUCCUUGUCACCAACUUCUCCAACUAUAUCAAAGGUUAUCGUUAUCUUGACUAUUGUGAUGUUUUGAAAAUAAAUUAGUAGGAAAGGGCAACCAAGCCCUUGGUGGCUUAAAGAGUAAGUAUUAUUAAAUGAGAGGUAUUGUGGUAAUUGAAUAAUAGUUGAUAAAUAUAAAUAAAAAGAAUAAAAACAAAAGGAACAAAAAGAGGGAGCUGUGUUUUUGAGAGUAAACCGUGAGAGAGAAGGGAGAAGGAAGAAAAAGAAGAAGAAGAGAAAAGAGGGAAAUAUAAGGAAAGGAGAAGAGAAUUGAAGGAAAUAAGUUUAAAGGUUCUCCUAACAAUCCUCAAUAGGAUUUCGGGUCUUUUCGUCUGACAUUCCUUUUAGUUCUAUAUUUCCGGGUUCUUAGUUUCUGAUAGUAGGUGAACCUUGUUGAGUGUUCCUGCUUCUUCAGUUUUGGGUCGGUAUGCUUUGCUUAUCUUUCAAGGCUAUUUGAUUCGAUGUCUUAGGCGCUCCACUAUUACCUUGUUUUAAUUAAGUUUGGAUUUUUGACAAGGUAAUGAGUAUUAUGGAUUAUUGUUUUUGUUUUAAUUACUGAUGAGGAGUUUUUAACUAUCUUUUGGUUUCAUCAGUUUUGAAUAAUAUAAUAUUUCUGAAGGUUAUGAAAUGCUGCGUAUUUUUGAAUAAAUUAUUCUUUUGAUAUGUCUGUUUUGAGGCUUAGCUCAGGAGGGAUGUCCUUUCGCCACUGCUCCUGCGUUGCCGGUCAUGAACCCGAGAUUCGGGUCGUGACAACUAUCUCCAAGAACUCCUUGGCCAUGGAAUCUUUAACGUUGAUGGUCACCUCUGGACUGUACAACAUAAGAUUGCUAGCCAUGAAUUCAACACUAAAUCUCUCAAAGACUUCGUAUCAGAUAUAGUCAAAUCUGAAUUGUCCAAAAGUCUCAUGCCAGACUUAUUCAAAGCAUGUGAUCACAACUUGAUCAUCGAUAUGCAAGAGGUGUUGCAAAAGUUCACUUUCACUAACAUAUGCAAAGUUGCUUUGGGGUUGACCCAGAAUCCAUGUCAAAUUUAACUUUUGUUGAGGCUUUUGAUGAUGCUGUGGAAAUUGGGUUUUCAAGAUUUAUGGCUCCACUUCCUGCGUUAUGGAAGCUUCAAAGAUCCUUGAAUAUAGGAUCAGAGAAGAGACUUAAAGAAGCUGUUAAAGUGAUUAAUGAGUUUGCUUGGGAGGUAAUAAAAUCGAGACAAGAACAAGAUGGCGGCAAGAAUCAAGAUUUGCUGUCAAGAUUUAUGUUAUUGAGUUCUGACAUGGAAUUUCAAGGUCAAGAACAUAAAAGGAAGUUCUUGAGAGACAUAAUCAUAAGCUUUGUGCUUGCUGGCAAGGACUCAACUUCAACAGCUCUAACAUGGUUUUUUUGGUUAAUUGCUGGCAACCCUCAUUGUGGGUCUUUGAUUUACAAUGAAAUAUCAUCAGCCGCCCCGCUGCCUGCGACAGAUUCAAGGGCAAGGAUUUUGAGCUACGAAGAGUAGAAGAAUUUUCACUAUUUGCACGCUGCUCUAUCAGAGUCAAUGAGGUUGUUUCCACCUGUACCAAUCAAUUCAAGAUCAACGGUGGAAGAUGAUAUAUUACCAGAUGGGACCUAUGUUAGGAAAGGGUGGUUUGCUGAUUAUUCCGCUUAUGCAAUGGGUAGGAUGGAGAAAGUGUGGGGUCAGGAUUGCAGGGAGUUUAAGCCUGAGAGGUGGUUAGAUAGUGAUGGAGUGUAUCAACCGUUUGAUCAAUUUAGAUAUCCUGUGUUUCACUGCGGUCCCAGGAUGUGUUUGGGGAAGCAAAUGGCUUAUAUCCAAAUGAAGGCAAUAGCUGCAGCUGUGAUGCAUGACUUUGAGAUCUUGCCUGUUGAUGGAGGCGCCACUGCAAAUAAAAUGAUGAACCCACCUUACAGAUUAACCAUGGUUCUCAAGAUGAGAGGGGGCUUGCCUGUUAGGCUGAAGAGGAGAGUGACAUCUCAACAAUGACUCACAAGUCAACCAACGAGAUUAACGAGCAACAGGUUGCCUGAUUUGUAGCUCAUGAUUUUGAUUUGCACUUAAUAAAUUGUUCUGUCUAUGCUAAGAUUUCUUGGAAGGUGUAAUCAACUAUUUGUUUCUGCAUGAACUGGACAUUGGUAAACAAAACAAAGGAUUUUAUUUUUUGAAAA